rfam:Triticum aestivum genome assembly, contig: Triticum_aestivum_CS42_TGACv1_scaffold_556504_7AL
CACAUACUCCCUUCGUUCAAAAAUACUUGUUCUAAAAAUGGAUAAAAUGGAUGUAUCUAUAACUAAAAUAAGUCUAGCUACAACCAUUUCUCAGACAAGUAUUUCCGGACGGAGGGAGUAAAUC